rnacentral:rRNA from 1 species
UACGUAGGGAGCGAGCGUUGUCCGAAGUUACUGGGCGUAAAGCGCGCGUAGGCGGGUUUGCAAGUCGGAGGUGAAAUGCUGGGGCUCAACUCCAUGCAGUGCCUCCGAUACUUCAAGUCUUGAGUGCGGAAGAGGGAAGCGGAAUUUCCGGUGUAGCGGUGAAAUGCGUAGAUAUCGGAAGGAACACCAGUGGCGAAAGCGGCUUCCUGGUCCAGCACCGACGUUCAGGCACGAAAGCGUGGGGAGCAAACAGG